rnacentral:lncRNA from 1 species
AUUACAAUCAAAUAAUAUAAGCAUGUAUAACAAGAAGAGAUCAGAAGCCAUAUACCAACAUGAAGAUGAUAAUAUGAUAAUCAUGAGAUCUCCACAAGAAUCCAAAGUAGAAGCCCUCCUAUGGUGAUCCACACAGGACUGAUCAGGGCCCUUUUCAAUUCGAUGUAGUGCUAUAGCCUUCUUUGCAAGUUUGCUGCUGAUCGUCCUUCGC